GGAAGACAUCAGUGGCAAUUUGGGGGAGGGGAUUCCUCAGCACUGUGUAUACUGCUGCCCAGUAUAGUGGUAGCAGUGAUACAAGAUGAAAGGUUUGAAAAAACUGAGAGGUGCAAACCUCAGAAUGAGUGACUGACAGGAUCAUGUGACUAAGGGUCACAUGGGAGCCUGAGGCAAGGAAUCUGGGAAAGAUUCUAUGCCCAACUGUCUUCUCUCCCAGAAGGACCUGAGUUUGAGGCUUGAAAAGGUUUUCUCCUGAGACCAAGAGAAGAAAAGAAAUCUUUUGGAUCUGGCUGCUGGCAGCAACAGUAAAGAAGAUCUCUGGACCUGUUUGGACACCAACCAACUGAAGAUCCUGGCCCAUUUGAUUGGACUCCUGAAAUUGCCACAAGCCACCCCAACCUCAGCAACCACCACCCUGAUUGGUCAGUAGCCAUCAACAUUGGGACACGACCUUCGCCAGGAAAGACAUUACGACUCCGUGAAGGCUCAGAUGAUGCUUAGCAUGUUAAGGCAAUAAGUGGAGGAUUUAUGAAAAGAUACAGAUGACCGUUGCUGUCAGCAUGGAACAGUUCCAACGUCCACCUUUGGGGAGAACACUCAGGCUGCUGACACCAUGGGACCAUGGAUGUGUGGAAGAAGUACUGUAUGUAUCCCCUUUUGAGGCUCUGAGAGGGCAGUCUGCCUUCUCUUAAUUUUUAAUCUCCAGCAGAACUUAGCACGGUGCUUUUUGCACAUAGUAGGGGCUUAUUUAUUAUUAUUAUUAUUAUUAUUAUUAUUCAGACAUUUAUUAUGUCUGAAAGGGAAAUGGACCAUCUUGGGAGAUGGGGGUUACCCCUCACUAGAGAUUUGCACUAGAAGGUUAGAUGAUCACUUGCUGGGGAACCUUGGUCAGAUAUGAGUUAGACAAAAUGGUCUAUAGCUUUUUUCAGUUCUGGGAUCCUGGGAAUCCUCUCUUUCACUUGAAUAGAGGAACAAUUAGGACACUGUAGGAGGAAUGCUGAGGUCAAGGUCAGGAUCUCGAAAGGGACUUGUUCUUUUCUCUUCCAUCAGAGUAUCUAUAAUUGGGAGCGAUGAGAAAUGAGAUGACUGAAAUAGGAGAGGAAUGUAGGAAGACAUGCCUUGAAGGUACAGUCUGGAGGUCCAUCUAUGGCAAGGUGGAUGAAAGUAGACAAAAAAAAUUUCAGUAAGCAUAACUUAAAAGGUUUUAGGGAGGACACUAGUUGCUUUCAAAGAAGUCAUAAAUAGGGAGAUUAGCCUGGGGAGCUGUUACUGUUCAGCAUAAAAUGAUGUCCUGGCCCUGGUCAGGAGCAACUAUCACCCUGGACAGGAAGAGUAAGGUCUAACAGAUCCAAAGAAGAAUUUGGGGUCCCAACAAGUCCCUCUCUAUUCAAAGAUCCACCAGUCCUUUCCUGAUUCCUCCAAUUAUUGCCAUUUCUUUCUUUGUGGAAUCAUUUGUAUAUGUCCAUACUCAUCUGUGUAUAUCUAUUUCCCAACUGGAGAAAGUAAGCUCCUUGAGAGCAGGGACUGUUUUAUCCCUGCAAGAUGCUUUGCAUAUACUAGCAGGCUACUUACUAAAUAAGCAUUUUAUCUAUCGCCUUGAAUUUUAUUGGUCUAGAUAAAAGGAGAGCAUUAUUUUAUAAUUUUAAAAGUCUGCAACCACACUUAAUUGCACAUAAUAAAUACAUUCAAAACUAUUUACAAUAAAAUAUAUAGGCCAACGUGAAAAUUUUAGCAACAACACACUUUAAAUAAGAUUGCUUUCAUUCCUAUGCAUGUAUGUCAACAAACAUUUUAUUAAACACCAGUGAUGUGCCAGGCACUUUCUAAAGCACCAAAGAAACAAACAAAAGCAAGACCAGUAUCUGUCCUCAAAGAGCGUGCAGUCUCAUUCAGGAGAUUACAUGUAAACAAUUCUGUAUAUAUGAGAUAUAAACAGGGUUUAUUAGAGAUGACCAACUGAGAGAAGGCAAGAGCAUUCAGGGGGAUUGGGGAAAGCUUCUUGCUGGGGAAAGUAUGGUUUUAGCUGGGACUUGAAGGAAGAAGCCAUCAAAGCCUGGAGCCAGAGAUGAGGAGGGGGAGCAGUCCAGGGAUGGAGAAUGACCACAUAAGUGGAAUAAUAUUUAAUAAAAGAAGAAUAGAAAUCUAAAUGCUUUUUAGUCACAUUCUCCUCCAAUAGCAUGUGUAAUUGAGCACUCACUUUUCAUACAUUCCAUUUGAAAUGCGACGAAAAAGACUAGAGAGAAGGGUUUUGUGAUGGCUAAAUUUCUGUAGUGGUCUAAAACCUGGGCAAAGAAUAAGAAAAAACUUUAGAGGUUUUCUAAAUUAAGUCCCUCAUUUUACAAAUGAGGAAACUGAGGCCCAGGAAUAGUAAGAGAUCUUCUGAAGUAGGCAGAAAGUGACCAACUGAUACAGCAUUCAGAUCCAGGGCUUCUGAAUCCACAUUCUACUUCCAGUAACCAUUCCAUGGUUCCAUGUUCCAUAAUCAGAGACCAUUCCCUCACCCCCGACCAUCUAAGUGAGAACGUGGUGGAUUGACCACUACUCGUAAAAAUGGAGAGGCAGGAGCUGCAUGAUGCUUCCUGGGUUCACUGGCAGUCUUGUAUGUCUGACACAUGUGAGCUCUGUAAUCUUGGGAAAAUCAUUUAACCGGAGGUAUCAAAUUCAGUCCACCAGCCACAAGCAGCCCAAACUCCUCCGUGGGGACCAAACCAGAUUACAAAGUAAUGGGGAAAUAGUUAACAAAAUCAAGAAAAAUAAAUGUUAAUUUGUGGGUUUCUGAGUCAAUCUGUGGUCCAUGUGUUUCUGCUUGAAUCUGCCACCCCCUCUCAGUGUGCUCUAACCAGUUGCCUAAGGCUCUAAGUAGACAGAGUUUCCUCACAUUAAAAGUUAAUUUCCUAUACCAGUGAAAUCACAGGUCUUCUGUCCCCAUUCUAUGUCCUGUUCAUGCGGGGUUGGUAGUAGCAUCAUGGAUAGAGAAACAAUGCCCCUCCCUUAAAAAAAAAAAGUGAAGCAGUUUUAAAAUGGAGACCUGGAUACAUAUUUAGACACUUUUUAUCCCAUAUGGUGUAGUUUGGGAAAUGACAAUUUUAGCAUGGCAAAAGGAGGUGAUGACAGUAGUAAAUUCCAUUCUCUAAAGAAGCCAGAAAUCCAUUUUGGCAAAAGUCUUGGGACAAUGGGAAAAGCUCCUGUCCCAAGACUUUUGGAAAAGUGGAUUUCUGGCUUCUUCGGGGGCCUUUGUAAAUUAAGGAAAUGUCUUAAGGAGAUUGCUUAGGCCCCUCAAGUUGAGAGAAGAUAACAGGAUAGGAGAGAGAAAUCUGAUGGUAGAGGUAAGAAAAAGGAAGUAAGGUUAAGUAAAAGUAAAAGGGAGAAAAGAGAAGGCCAAGGUCUGCUUAAGUCCUAUUUCUAGAAGCCAGUCCAUGAAAAGAAGCAAUGGGGCAAAUAUUUCCUCCUUCACCAGGUGUGUCCACUCUUAAAGGGCAGCUAGUUUGCACAGUGGAUAGAGUGCCCAGCCUUGAGUCAGGAAGACUCCUCUUCCUGAGUUCAAAUUUGGUCCCAGACACUUUAUGAGCUGAGGGACCCUGAGCAAGUCACUUUACUCUGUUUGUCUCAGUAUCCUCAUCUGUCAAAUGAGCUGGGGAAGGAAAUAGCAAAUCAUUCCAGUAUCUUUGCCAAGGAAACCCCAAAAUAGGGUCAUGUAGAGUUGGACACAACUGAACUAAUGGAAAAUCAGCUAUGGGAUUUUAAAGUGAAAAAGUGAAAGGAAAAAGAUAUAGAUACCAAAAAGGGGGCAAAUGAUUCAUUUAUAGCAAUUUAAGCACAAGGAUUUGAACAUUAUAUGGUAAUCAAUGAAAGCCAAAUUUGGCUGUGCACCAUGAAAGACCAAAAUGGCAGAUGAACCCCUCCAUCAGUAUAUAAGCUUUAUGUGUAUGUAGGUUGGGGGGGUUCAUUCUUUAGGUUUGUAUUCCCCACUUCUGGCAUAGUAUCUGUGGAACUCGAGCUUGGAGAAGCUCCUGCAGACAGCUUUCCUUCAAUUGGUCACAUGAGUGAAAGGACUGACUCCCCUUUCCCUUGGCUCUCAGGGGAAGGACCCCCCCUUGGCCAAAGUCUUGAACUCCUGCCUGGCUCAGCCUGAGCCCGAGCAAUUUGAGUUAACUCUCUCUCUCUCUUAAUUUCUUCCUUCUCUUGUAAUUAAAUCACCAUAAAACUCCAUUCUGAUUUGAGUGUUUCAUUUAAGAUUUAAGAAAUUAAAUCUUGGCAACCAAUAAUAUUUAUAUUCAGUCUCAACCAUAAAUUUAACCCUUACGUAUCUGUGGUAAAGCUUGUUGUUUAGAUGACUGAAGCAUCCAAAUUGCAGGUGAUCCAAAGGGAAAUGAAGAGUGGUUGAGAUAACUAGGCAAAUGAUCUAGGAGGAAUGGUGUAAAAGAUAGUAUUAUCAAGCAUCUCCCUUGACUGAAAAAGAUGGGCCUCUCUAUGGUCAUUGUACUGGUAUUGGACAAAUAGGAAACUACAGAGAGAGGGGAAAUGGCUGGAGAGCCCUUAUGGAGCACUUGGACUGGACUCUUCCAGGGUUUGAGAAUAUGGCUGAGCCUCCGAGAUCCCCCAAAACGCCCCUUCCAGGCAUCAAGUAAUUUUCCUAAAUAAAGAUCCCUAUCUGAGAUGAAACCUUGUUAGAGGGGACAAGGACUUAAACAAACAUGACAUUUAAAAACCUAAGCUGCCUGUCUGAAAGGUAAGGAAAGCUCCAAUUAUUUUUAAGGGGACAGGCAAACUCGGCUACAACCAAAUUGGAAGGGAAAACGGUGACUAAAAAUUCUAGGAUUGUACUGAAAUUUGAAAAGGAGAAUGAAGAGAAAAUAAGAAAAGGAAAACCCUAAGAGAAGAUCUUCUGCUGUUUCUGAACAAUCAGAGAAGAUGAGGUCAGAAGUAAUGUGAAAGGGGAAGAGUAUAGCUUGUUCUAUUUGUAAGGGAAGGGGUCAAGGAUUCUCAGUCUGUUUAGGUUGGACUGGACAGCCCCUGGGAUCUCUUCCCACUCAAAACCUGGGAUUCCCAGAGGAGACUAAGGGUGUCAUUUCUGUCACUCUCAGCUAGAGGGUGCAGGAAUGUUUGCAGACCUCAGAUGGAUGGAGACCCUCUAGGUCCCCAAAUUUAGAGCAGAAAGAGCCCUCAGAAGUUCUAGUGGAGAUCUCUUCAUUUUUACAGAUGAGGAAAGUGAUGUCUAGAGAUUAAGGAACUCCUCCAAGCUCCCCACAAGAGGUCAAAUGGCAGAGCUAAGCGCUAUUUGACACAGUUUCCUCAUCAGCAAAAAAGGGCUGAUAAGAGUUGUUUCGAGGACAUAAGAAUUAUAAGUGCUUAGCACAGUGCCUGGCAUACAAUAAGCGCCAUAUAAAUGUUACCAAGGAUAAUGCUAAUUAUUGUCAUUGUUUGGAACUCUGACCAUCUUCCUCGGUCCUGGGGACUAGGAUGCUCCUUCUGCUGGGCUCUGCUCCCAUUUUCCCAUUACAAGGGAGGAGCCGUCCAGGGAGGCGUAUUUGGGGGAGCAGAGACUGAGGGGGGCAGAGAGCCCGGACCUGAGAUUUCACUAAAAUAGGAAACUCCCAGGGAAGGAGCCUCCCUUGCACUGACACGGGAUCCCCUCUCCUUCAUAACGUCUAGCCUGCAGGUAAUGAGCCCGGCCUAUUUGAAAUUGACAAGGAACAAACUGACAGCAUUUAGGAGAGGUCUGGACGCAGCGAGCAAGCCAGCAAGCGAGCGCGCGCCCCUUACCUGGAGGGCCCAGGUAGCGCCGGC